rnacentral:rRNA from 1 species
AGAGUUUGAUCCUGGCUCAGGACGAACGCUGGCGGCGUGCUUAACACAUGCAAGUCGAACGGAAAGGCCCUGCUUUUGUGGGGUGCUCGAGUGGCGAACGGGUGAGUAACACGUGAGUAACCUGCCCUUGACUUUGGGAUAACUUCAGGAAACUGGGGCUAAUACCGGAUAGGAGCUCCUGCUGCAUGGUGGGGGUUGGAAAGUUUCGGCGGUUGGGGAUGGACUCGCGGCUUAUCAGCUUGUUGGUGGGGUAGUGGCUUACCAAGGCUUUGACGGGUAGCCGGCCUGAGAGGGUGACCGGCCACAUUGGGACUGAGAUACGGCCCAGACUCCUACGGGAGGCAGCAGUGGGGAAUAUUGCACAAUGGGCGGAAGCCUGAUGCAGCAACGCCGCGUGCGGGAUGACGGCCUUCGGGUUGUAAACCGCUUUCGCCUGUGACGAAGCGUGAGUGACGGUAAUGGGUAAAGAAGCACCGGCUAACUACGUGCCAGCAGCCGCGGUGAUACGUAGGGUGCGAGCGUUGUCCGGAUUUAUUGGGCGUAAAGGGCUCGUAGGUGGUUGAUCGCGUCGGAAGUGUAAUCUUGGGGCUUAACCCUGAGCGUGCUUUCGAUACGGGUUGACUUGAGGAAGGUAGGGGAGAAUGGAAUUCCUGGUGGAGCGGUGGAAUGCGCAGAUAUCAGGAGGAACACCAGUGGCGAAGGCGGUUCUCUGGGCCUUUCCUGACGCUGAGGAGCGAAAGCGUGGGGAGCGAACAGGCUUAGAUACCCUGGUAGUCCACGCUGUAAACGGUGGGUACUAGGUGUGGGGUCCAUUCCACGGGUUCCGUGCCGUAGCUAACGCUUUAAGUACCCCGCCUGGGGAGUACGGCCGCAAGGCUAAAACUCAAAGGAAUUGACGGGGCCCCGCACAAGCGGCGGAGCAUGCGGAUUAAUUCGAUGCAACGCGUAGAACCUUACCUGGGUUUGACAUGGAUCGGGAGUGCUCAGAGAUGGGUGUGCCUCUUUUGGGGUCGGUUCACAGGUGGUGCAUGGCUGUCGUCAGCUCGUGUCGUGAGAUGUUGGGUUAAGUCCCGCAACGAGCGCAACCCUUGUCUCUAGUUGCUACGCAAGAGCACUCUAGAGAGACUGCCGGUGACAAACCGGAGGAAGGUGGGGAUGACGUCAAAUCAUCAUGCCCCUUAUGUCCUGGGCUACACACGUGCUACAAUGGCCGGUACAGAGGGAAGCGAAGGAGCGAUCCGGAGCCAAACCCAAAAAGCCGGUCGUAGUUCGGAUUGCAGGCUGCAACUCGCCUGCAUGAAGCCGGAAUCGCUAGUAAUCGCGGAUCAGCAUGCCGCGGUGAAUACGUUCCCGGGCCUUGUACACACCGCCCGUCACACCACGAAAGCCGGCAACACCCGAAGUCGCUAAGGCGCCGAAGGUGGGGCAGGUGAUUGGGGUGAAGUCGUAACAAGGUAUCCGUACCGGAAGGUGCGGAUG